rnacentral:rRNA from 1 species
GACGAACCGUCCAAACGUUAUUCGGUAUCACUGGGCUUAAAGCGUGCGUAGGCGGCUUGGAAGGUGUGAUGUGAAAGCCCACGGCUCAACCGUGGAAUUGCGUCGCAAACCAUCAAGCUGGAGGAAGAUAGGGGUGAUGGGAACUUAUGGUGGAGCGGUGAAAUGCGUUGAUAUCAUAGGGAACACCGGUGGCGAAGGCGCAUCACUGGAUCUUUUCUGACGCUGAGGCACGAAAGCUAGGGUAGCGAACGGG